rnacentral:rRNA from 1 species
AAGCAACAAAUGCCCUGCUUCCAGGAAAAGCCUCUAAGCAUCAGGGUAACAUCAAAUCGUACCCCAAACCGACACAGGUGGUCAGGUAGAGAAUACCAAGGCGCUUGGAGAGAACUCGGGUGAAGGAACUAGGCAAAAUGGUGCCGUAACUUCGGGAGAAGGCACGCUGAUAUGUAGGUGAAGCGACUUGCUCGUGGAGCUGAAAUCAGUCGAAGAUACCAGCUGGCUGCAACUGUUUAUUAAAAACACAGCACUGUGCAAACACGAAAGUGGACGUAUACGGUGUGACGCCUGCCCGGUGCCGGAAGGUUAAUUGAUGGGGUCAGCGCAAGCGAAGCUCUUGAUCGAAGCCCCGGUAAACGGCGGCCGUAACUAUAACGGUCCUAAGGUAGCGAAAUUCCUUGUCGGGUAAGUUCCGACCUGCACGAAUGGCGUAAUGAUGGCCAGGCUGUCUCCACCCGAGACUCAGUGAAAUUGAACUCGCUGUGAAGAUGCAGUGUACCCGCGGCAAGACGGAAAGACCCCGUGAACCUUUACUAUAGCUUGACACUGAACAUUGAGCCUUGAUGUGUAGGAUAGGUGGGAGGCUUUGAAGUGUGGACGCCAGUCUGCAUGGAGCCGACCUUGAAAUACCACCCUUUAAUGUUUGAUGUUCUAACGUAGACCCCUAAUCGGGGUUGCGGACAGUGUCUGGUGGGUAGUUUGACUGGGGCGGUCUCCUCCUAAAGAGUAACGGAGGAGCACGAAGGUUGGCUAAUCCUGGUCGGACAUCAGGAGGUUAGUGCAAUGGCAUAAGCCAGCUUGACUGCGAGCGUGACGGCGCGAGCAGGUGCGAAAGCAGGUCAUAGUGAUCCGGUGGUUCUGAAUGGAAGGGCCAUCGCUCAACGGAUAAAAGGUACUCCGGGGAUAACAGGCUGAUACCGCCCAAGAGUUCAUAUCGACGGCGGUGUUUGGCACCUCGAUGUCGGCUCAUCACAUCCUGGGGCUGAAGUAGGUCCCAAGGGGUAUGGCUGUUCGC